UUGCAUUUUAGUCUCUCAGAUAUUGGGGGAAAAUUUUGGUGACGUUGGAGAGAGAGUUAAAUGAAAUAUUUUAUUAAAUUUAGAAUUUAAUGUAAAGUAGCAAAUACAGAGGCAAGAAACAGAAUAAUGUGUUUUAUGGUUGUCAGCUACCAUCUUUAAUUGAAGUUAUUUGUGAUGUCAUUUUCCUGUGUCAUGGCCUGCCUUCCCUAGAUAUUGUCCUAAUGUGAGCAUCACACCUAAGGUACUGAAGUAGAAUGCUGGCUGUUCCUUAUGGACAUCUCUGGUGGUUGCCUUAUAAGCCAUGAGGUCUAUUUUGGAGCUUGGCUGGAGAACUGACCCUCAGAACACUAUUACUCUUCCUGGACAAGAAAAAAACCUAGUAAAAAAGAAAUGACUUG